AGGGGCAGCAUGAACUUAGCUUGCUAAGUUUGAUGGCGACCGGCGCACGGGUGAGUAACACGUAUCCAACCUGCCGAUGACUCGGGGAUAGCCUUUCGAAAGAAAGAUUAAUACCCGAUGGCAUAGUUCUUCCGCAUGGUAGAACUAUUAAAGAAUUUCGGUCAUCGAUGGGGAUGCGUUCCAUUAGGUUGUUGGCGGGGUAACGGCCCACCAAGCCUUCGAUGGAUAGGGGUUCUGAGAGGAAGGUCCCCCACAUUGGAACUGAGACACGGUCCAAACUCCUACGGGAGGCAGCAGUGAGGAAUAUUGGUCAAUGGACGAGAGUCUGAACCAGCCAAGUAGCGUGAAGGAUGACUGCCCUAUGGGUUGUAAACUUCUUUUAUACGGGAAUAAAGUGAGGCACGUGUGCCUUUUUGUAUGUACCGUAUGAAUAAGGAUCGGCUAACUCCGUGCCAGCAGCCGCGGUAAUACGGAGGAUCCGAGCGUUAUCCGGAUUUAUUGGGUUUAAAGGGAGCGUAGGCGGACGCUUAAGUCAGUUGUGAAAGUUUGCGGCUCAACCGUAAAAUUGCAGUUGAUACUGGGUGUCUUGAGUACAGUAGAGGCAGGCGGAAUUCGUGGUGUAGCGGUGAAAUGCUUAGAUAUCACGAAGAACUCCGAUUGCGAAGGCAGCUUGCUGGACUGUAACUGACGCUGAUGCUCGAAAGUGUGGGUGUCAAACAGG
rnacentral:rRNA from 1 species